GGUGCCGAGGUGAAUUUCAUAUUGAAUUGCAAAUUCGAAGAAGCAGCUUCAACUCUGCCGGGGCU
rnacentral:tRNA from 1 species